UACGUAGGGUGCGAGCGUUGUCCGGAAUUACUGGGCGUAAAGCGCACGUAGGCGGAUCGAUCAGUCAGGGGUGAAAUCCCGGGGCUCAACCCCGGAACUGCACUGGAUACUGCCCUGCUAGAGAUCUGGAGAGGAAACUGGAAUUUACGGUGUAGCAGUGAAAUGCGUAGAUAUCUGGAGGAACACCGGUGGCGAAGGCGGCAUCCUGGACCGGAGAUUGACGCUGAUGCGCGAAAGCCAGGGGAGCAAACGGG
rnacentral:rRNA from 1 species